ensembl:lncRNA
AUAAGACAUCUUAAAACCUCUUUCAAAACAUUUAAAAAUGUACAGACUCCAAACUUUUGAAUAUUAAUGUAUGUAUAUGUAUGUUUAUAUUACAUUUAAUUCAAUUGUAAAAAUACCCAAAGGCUCCAACGUGGCAGAUGUCUCUCCUGGUAGAACAUCAAGACCCCUGUCUACAACUUUACGACAGACUAAAUCAUAACUUAGGGAAACACAUUCCUCCUUAUGUUAUGAAUUAGUGUGAAUCCUCUAUGUAUGAUCCCUAUGAACUGUAUGAGACUACACGUGUGAAUUUACAUGUAUUAAUUUAGCAGAUGAAUGCAGUGCAGUAUCUCGCAUGCAGAAGCGGAGGACCACCCAGGGCCUGCAGAGGAAGACAGAAUCAGAGAGCAGGAACCUCAUCGCCAUGCAGAUGACACGAGUCUAUCCCCUCGACUCAGAGGAUGACGUUGGGAAACAAAGGCGUGUUAAUGAUUUUCGGAGGCCACGGUCGAGCUGGAGAGCACUUCAAACUCAAGAGCAGGAAACACAGGGUUCCCACAGGGUCCAAACCAGCCAAAGACUGGGUGGAAUGAAAAUAUCCAGAAGGCUUUAGAAAAGAAAGGAGAAGGUUCUGUCAAGUCCUGUUAUCGGUUAAUUGUGGGUGUUUGAGACUUUAUGUCACAUUUCAAAGAAGGAGCUGUUUUUUUUUAAAUGGAGCUGUUUUAUAUUUCCAUUAUUACUUUAAUGGAACAUUAAUACUAAUAUUACUGACUACAUAAGGAGUUAAAUAUGUGUCCCACACCAUCUUUAAAAUUCUUAAAAUGUUCUCCAGAAUUGUGCCACUACAGAGCUCUCUCUUUCUCUUUUGCCCUCAUUUCUCAUCCCUCUGUCCAUCUCGUUAUUUAUUCAGUAAAAUGGGAGAUUGAUCAGAUAAUUGCAUUAGGAGGGGCAGAUUGGUCAUAAUCAUGGUGGUAUUGGCAGCUCGGGGCUGGAGGCUCAGCACUGACAUUAACUCAGACUCAGCAGUCAGAGGUCAGCGCCACUGAGAUUAAACUCUUCUCUCUUGAUGGUCAGCAUGGUUCGGGCCAUUUUACAGCCUCACAUCACCCCAACUGACCCCUUGAUGACCACUUGACAAAAUGGAGGGGAGGGUGAGGACAAAAGAGAGCUGACCAAGGAGGAUGAGCGUUGAGAUGAAAGGAGGAGGGAGAGGUAACAGAGAGGAGAGGUAACGGCAGACGUGAAAAAAAAGAAGAAAAAAAAUUGCACAAAGACCGCUGCAGCAUACCAAAGGAGUGAGGUCAUGAGCACUUCCUUUGCAUCAAAUUCAUGCCAUCCAUGUACAGUAUGCGUUUCAAACAAAGUUAAUAGUGAUCUUCUCAAUUUUUUAAAUCUCUUUAUUUUUAUUAUUAUUAUUUUAUUUUUUUUUUGUUAAAUUCUGUCCAUUGGGAUCAUUUUACAAUUUAAACCAACAGAGACUGACUAUAUUAGAGUUAUUAGACAAGGUCACUUCUUAAGUCAUGACAUACUUUACUGAUAAAACGCCUCCGCUUCUCUCACAUCUGCCCCCAACCUCUCUAUGGAAGCAAUUACAUCAUAUUAAAAGGUCUAAAGAGGCAUCAGUAAUCAGAGGACAUCUCAAACACAACACAAAUUAAACCCAAGGGCUAAUUGUUGCACAACUCAUUCUAAAAAGAUGGAAAUAAUUGUAACCAGGAGGAUGGAAUAUUCUGUGUACUUUUUUAGGAAAGUUAUGGAGAUUACAACAACAUGUACAUAUUCAAGGAUCCCCCAAAGCAAAUUGACUGAUACACAGAUUAGAUAAUGUUUCUAAUUUACUUGUUAUGCAUAUAUAUCCUCAAAUAGGGCUGGUUGAAUAGUAGGGGUUGUAACAAGCACACUGGAAUUUUACUUCAGCUAUAAAUGUAACACUUAAAUGUAACACUGGGAGUAAUUUAAGGCACAAUGAACUCAUUAUUAAUGUUUUAGAUGUGUACAAGAAAUACAAUUCUCCUCUCCCAAAAUAACAGACGAUUUCAGUAACUAAAGUGAGUUUAAGCAAAAUAAAUGCUUAGUUUAGACUAAAUAGUCUUAUAUAGUUUUAUAAGAGGUGAAUCAAACGUAAUGCACUGUUGCAUUUCACUGAUGCCAUUAUGCAUUAAAAGUUGUCUUUUUGAGGUUUAAAGUAAAAUAAAAUAUUUUGUAUUAAGUAAAGCAUUUCAGGGUGUAAAAAGUUAACUGAUGUGUUAACAUACAUGCUAGAAUACAUGCAGACCUAAAAAUUAUUAUCUUACUAAAUAAAAACAUAGAUAAGAACUUUUUUUUGUCUUUUUUAUUUCUGACCUCUAGAAGUAAAUGAAGAUUACUCAGCAAUGAUAAAAUUUUUAGUCAGUUGACUGAUGUAUUCAUCUUAGAAACACGCUGUUUGUGAUAUAUUCAUCUUUUGUUUAACCACAAUAAUCUGAAUAAUUCAUGUCAUAUCAUAUAUAAAUGUGCUUAACCAGUUUUCUGUCAAAAAGUGUUGGGUGACUAAUUUUGCUAAUGUUGCUCUGUCUGCUGUGCACACAGUCUUUGUGUCUCGUGGGUGUGUUUAGGGUGAAAACAUCUGCAUUUAAACUAUUCCCCUUCCUCAGGCUUGAAUACAACCACUUGCUCAGCAGAGCAACAGGAAGCCAGCCAUUUUUACAAUAGCUGCACUUAAACAUGCCAGAAAAUGCCACUGCGCAGAUGCAUGCAUGCAGAUAAAGUACUGGGGAUAACCUAAAAAAUUAUAAUAAAUGAUUUUUUUUUAGCUUCAUCUCUUGAAUAAGUGUGUAUUGUACUGUGUCAGUGAUUCAUUCAUCCAUGUCAAUCGUUCUUGUUUAUUUGAGGUGAAUGUGUUUUAAAUUGCAUGUUUUUAAAACAAGGGAGUAAAAUGUUAACUGAUGUGUUAACAUAAAUGCUUGAAUACAUGCAGAACUCCAAAACCUUUUUUAUUAUUAUUAUUACAUCUACAUGUGUGUCCACAUGCUAGCAUAAUCAGUUUAUACACACUGGUGUAAUUCUUAAUUCAUUGUUACAGCUCAGCAUUAAGACAACCCAGCUCCCUAUGGAUUUCAGCCCAACAGUUGGAUGAAAAGUGUGUGUACACACGUGCCGUUUAGUUACUCAAACAUUGUAAACUGUAUAACUGAAGAUUAGAUCUGAUUCAUAUAGAGUUUACCCUGUCGAUAAAUCAUUCAGCGCCUGCUGGGACGCUGAAGACUGACAGCGAGAGAAUGGAGAGCAGAGGAGUGAGAGAUGGCGACUGCAUGAAAAUACGUCAUAUUUGCUCUUGCAGAUGAUAAAAAAAAAUAAUCUGCAAAACCUUUGUUUCAUAUUUUAUAUAAAAUGAAUUAAUAUGGUUUGUCCAUCUGGCUUCAUUGUUUUGGUGUCCCUUUAACAUGAGCAUAAUUUAAUCUUUGAGGACUCAUGGUGACACCGCAAUAAAAUUAUGGAAAAUUGGAUGACUGACCCAUGACCUUUUAAAACAAACCAGCUCAUUCUUCAAACUCUUCUUCAAAUAAAAGCUUUCGUCGAUUCAUCAUCUCACGGUAAGCAGACAUGUUAAGUAGUUCUACGUUCCUGUGAGUCAUAAACUAGAGCAUCUACUCUGCAGGUCUUCACCUUACAGCAAAGAACAGCAUCAGUCAAACAACAGGACUCCAGUACACACAUACACAUGUGUAAGCAGAGGUUGGACAAGCCUUUCCUGCACACUCACAAUUUCAACAAUCCCCCCACUUCUCGUCUCUCCUCAGGGGCUAAUGUAACCCCUCACAGGGCACAGGUCUUUAUUUACAUGCUUUACAAGUCACUUACGCCUUCUCACCUGAUAAGGUCAGAGUUCAGCGCGAUGUGGGCGCCCUCGGGCUGCAGGGCCUGUGUGAGAAGUAUUUAGCCAUUUUAUUACGACUGGUCCCUGGCUGUUUUUAUGUAAAGUUUAAAGAGAUAUACUUUACAAGGACAGGGUGUCUGAUCAAAACCAAAGUAACGACCUCAACCAUAAUCUGCAAUUUGAAAAGGUAAAUCUUAAUUUGUUAAAUAUGUUAAAUUAAAUUGUUUGAUAUAAUUUGACAGAAAAUUUCUCAGAAAAAUAAAAUAAAACAAAUGUAAAAAAACGGUUCAUGAGAUUAAUCCUAUUGACCACCACAGUUUUUUAUUUUAGGGGUUUGCACCCUUAAGACUUUUGAAAACAGCUGUUCCUAGCGACAUAUGUGACACAUUCACUCUUACCAGAAGACGCCAUGGUGGUUACAAAUGUUGAAAACUAAUACUUUUUGUUUGCAUUUGAUCUGGAAACCUCAGUGUUAGUCAUAGCCACUUCCUCCUGUAACACCAUACGAACGUACAUGGGUAUUUUGGCAGACACAUAAACAUGAUCUUGACCAUGCCUUUUGUUCAUGCACAAAUGGCCUGGAAUCCAUCUGGUAUAUAACCAUUACAGUAAAAUGGCAUGCCCUGACUGGAAAUGGAAGAAGGGGACUUAAAGCAUGAUUACUUAAAAAUCACAACUUGAGAUUAGUUGUAGGUAUCAUAUUUAAUCAUCUAUAUAAUAUAUAAUUUCUAAUAUUUAAAAAAAAGGUUCAAUUUAAUUAAUGAGUUUUUUUUAUUUUAUUUUAAUAUUCAACUUUAAACAGCUUACCCCAGAUCUUUCAAGAUUUUAAAACUAGUGAAAAUGUGCAGCUUUCUUUGAAGAACAAUGCUGUUAUUCAUAGUGCUCAACUGCUGUAGAUCAGUGCGCAUAUGUGUGUAGAUAGUCGGGGUGCUGAUAAUGCUGUAAACCCCGGGUAACUCACUCUGCCUCCUAGUCAGUGUGGCCCAUUUAAAAGCCUUUGAUCCAACCCGGGGUGAAUGAGUCACUGACUAAGACACAAACACAGACACACACACACAGACACACACACACUCACUCACACACAUACAGACACACACACACACACACACACACACAAAGCACCAGCAUACUCUCACAUACAGCAUGGAAACCAAUGAUGAAACACACACACACACAGAAUGAAUUUACCAUUGUCCACAGGAAAACACCUCAACCAACUAUGACUUCAAAACAAGUGUAUCUGUGACGAUACUAAAACACACAGAUACAAACGGAAAGAGCGAGAGAGACCCUGAAGGACAGGUCUGCUCCCCGAGGAAGGCCAUUAGCUCAGGCCUGUGUUUCAUUAGUCUGAAUAGUUUAA